ACGUAGGGACCAAGCGUUGUUCGGAUUUACUGGGCGUAAAGCGUGCGCAGGCGGUUUUGUAAGUCUGACGUGAAAUCCCCGGGCUUAACCUGGGAAUUGCGUUGGAGACUGCAAGGCUAGAAUCUGGCAGAGGGGGGUAGAAUUCCACGUGUAGCAGUGAAAUGCGUAGAGAUGUGGAGGAACACCGAUGGCGAAGGCAGCCCCCUGGGUCAAGAUUGACGCUCAUGCACGAAAGCGUGGGGAGCAAACAGGA
rnacentral:rRNA from 1 species